CAGUCGCCACGGUAAUACAGAGGGUGCGAGCGUUAAUCGGAUUUACUGGGCGUAAAGCGUGCGUAGGCGGCUUUUUAAGUCGGAUGUGAAAUCCCUGAGCUUAACCUGGGAACUGCAUUUGAAACUGGAAGGCUAGAGUCCUGUAGAGGGGGGUAGAAUUCCAGGUGUAGCGGUGAAAUGCGUAGAGAUCUGGAGGAAUACCGGUGGCGAAGGCGACCCCCUGGACAAAGACUGACGCUCAUGUACGAAAGCGUGGGGAGCAAACAGGAUUAGAUACCCGUGUAGUCCCUGUCUCUUAUAC
rnacentral:rRNA from 1 species